AACGAACGCUGGCGGCAUGCCUAACACAUGCAAGUCGAACGAUUCUUUCGUGUCUAGUGGCUCACGUCUGCUUGACGCGUGGGAACCUGCCCUUAGGUUCGCACUAACUUCCCGUACCGGUUGCUAGUACCUGAUACUGUCUUCGAACUACGGAUUUAUCGACUUUGUUUGUGCCCGCUUUGGUUUAGCUGGUUGGUAGGGUCAAGGCCUACCAAGGCGACGAUCCAUAGCUGGUCUGAGAGGUUGAGCAGACACACCGGGGCUGGGACACGGCACAGACUCUUACGGGAGGCAGGAGUGGGGAAUAGUGGAAAAUGGGGGAAGGGCUGAUGCAGCAAUGAUGGGUGAGUGAUGAAGGUAGUAGGGUUGUAAAGCGCUUGUAACCGAGAGGAUAAUGACAGUACCGGGAGAAUAAGCUACGGCUAACUCCGUG
rnacentral:rRNA from 1 species